rnacentral:lncRNA from 1 species
GUAUUUGUGGUUAGGCAUUACUAUCUCUGAAGCAUUGAUUAACCAAGUCAACAACUCAAGUCAAAACAUCAAGUGCAUAAAAAAUCAAACAAAAAUUUAUUUAAAAAUGAUUAAAAAGGGAAAUUAAAGAGAAAAUACAAAACUAUGAUCAAAAUAGUUGAAAAAUGGUUGCAAAAACUACACAAAGUCCCAAAUAUUACACAUGAAUAGAUCUCAAAAGUUGGAUACAAAAAUGUUUGAAAAUGAUUAAAAAAUAAAUUGCAGAAGGAAAUUAAAAAGAAAAUGAAAUAAAAAUAUUAAUAAGUGCAAAAUGAUUUUAAAAAAUGUGAGAAAAAUGUAUGUGAUGCAAAAUAAUUUUAGAGACCCUGUGUAAAAAAUUGGGAUAAAAAUUAUUGAAAAACGAGAG